AUAGGUCGAAUGUGUAGAACAACAUCCUUAGAACCCAUGCAGAUAUAGUUUCCAUAUAAUUCAUCCCCUUGACCAAAAUGCUCAUAAGACACCUCAGAGUUUAACUGUCAAAUCUGAUCAGGUUGUCCACAUUGUAUUUCAAAAUAUCAAAUCCAUCUGAUGGAUUAUCUUGGCCAAAGUUUUGCUAAAUUGAAAUACAGCGACUCAUUCUUCUCCAACUCU
rnacentral:lncRNA from 1 species